GAUGAACGCUGGCGGCGUGCCUAAUACAUGCAAGUCGAGCGAACAGACGAGGAGCUUGCUCCUCUGACGUUAGCGGCGGACGGGUGAGUAACACGUGGAUAACCUACCUAUAAGACUGGGAUAACUUCGGGAAACCGGAGCUAAUACCGGAUAAUAUAUUGAACCGCAUGGUUCAAUAGUGAAAGACGGUUUUGCUGUCACUUAUAGAUGGAUCCGCGCCGCAUUAGCUAGUUGGUAAGGUAACGGCUUACCAAGGCAACGAUGCGUAGCCGACCUGAGAGGGUGAUCGGCCACACUGGAACUGAGACACGGUCCAGACUCCUACGGGAGGCAGCAGUGGGGAAUCUUACGCAAUGGGCGAAAGCCUGACGGAGCAACGCCGCGUGAGUGAUGAAGGUCUUCGGAUCGUAAAACUCUGUUAUUAGGGAAGAACAAAUGUGUAAGUAACUAUGCACGUCUUGACGGUACCUAAUCAGAAAGCCACGGCUAACUACGUG
rnacentral:rRNA from 1 species